AGGAGCUUUUGUGCCUACCAGAACUCUCAGUGUUUGGUUUUGGCACAUUUCAUUGGUUGUCAUAAAAGGCUACAUAUCCACAUGUCGAAAUAGCCAGAGAAUGGAGUAUUAAUUGUAUUAAAGGAUGGUUCCUUGUGCAGACACUCGCCCAAUAUUUGCCUCUGUGAAACAGGUCAUACAGGUUUUUAAAUCUUGUUUCAAAAGUCUAUCUGAGCAGAGGUAACAGUGGAAGGAAAGAAACAUGUGUUUUUGCUCCAGUGGGAAGGGCUGGCCUUGACACACCACUUUUAACUCUCUUUAAAAGUUAUUUUAUUUUUAUUUUGUAAAAUUUAUAUGCCGAUUGUAAAAUACACUCAAAGUGGUUUACAAAAAGAAAGUACUGAAAAUCUCCAAGCCUGAGUUACUGCAUAGACAGAAGCCCCGUCCUAUCGAGCCUCUGUAGCCCAAAACAUGACAACAUCUAGGUGAGCAUCCUGUUCUCACAGUGGCCAACCAGAUGCCCAUGGGAAGGCCCCCACAAGCAAGACUUGAGUGGAACAGUGCUCUCCCCACUGGAGAUUCCCAGGAACUGGGACAGUCUCCAACAGGGGAAUGGAAACAUAACCAUUGUGGCUAAAUGCCUCAACUUAGCUGGAUUAAGUAGUCUAGGACUGUAGUUUGAGAAAAGCAUUAUCUAUGGGCUCAGAGGCAUGCUGCCUGCAGCACUGCAAAGAAAACCAAAUACCCAUGUGUGGCAUAAAAAAACCCUAAUAUCUGGGACCUCUCUUUUGUGGCCAGACAAAUGCUGCUGCUGAUUUUUAUUCCUUGGGCUGGAGAGAUCAAAAAGCAUUGUCACACUAUGCCCACUUUUUAAAGCAGUGAGGUCCAGAUUGUAUCUGUUGGGAGACAAAGUACUGGAAACUUGGGGUGCUUUUUAUUUGUAAUAUUUUGAUUUUUAAAAAGCUUUUUUUAAAAAACAAAAAUAGAGUUUAAGUGGAGGCAAGGAGGAGAGGAGCAGCUCCAGUCAGGCAACACACCUGCUACCUUGCACCAGAUCACCAGUGAAUGGCAAGUCCAGACUGAGGGAGACUGAGAUGGCAACAGGUUAGGAGGCAGUGGCAAAAGAGCAUCCUCCCUUGGUGACCACAUGAUGUGGAAGAGAGACAAGAGAGAGGCAGCUGCAGCACGUGCUCAGUCAACUCCUUAUGUUCUGGCCAGACCCUGCUUAUUAGAAUAAGUGGGUGGCCAUAGAAAGACUCUCUGGUGUUCCAGACAGGGUGUCUCUCCUAGCCCUACCUGAAGAUGCCAGGGAUUGAACCUGGAACCUUCUGCUUGCAAAGGAGACACCCUACCACUGAGAUGCAGCCUUUCACUAUACUGGUGCUAGAAAAAUGCUAAAAAACACACACAGUGACACCGACUUAUUGUUCUUUGGGAUCUGGCGAUUUGUUCCUAGGAAAUAUAGCAAACAGGACAUCAAAAAAUAUUAAAACAACAAGAAGCACGAUUAAUAUUUUUAUUUAAAACAUUCCAGCCAGUAUGAUUAAAUUCCAAAUUUGAUCUUUCAGUUUUCAUUUAAUUACAGCAAUGGGCAUUGAAAUGUGUAUCUGGAUGCAGAAUGUAUGAGAUAACGCUGGCACCCUGUCUUCUUUAUUACUUCAUACACUGCUUCAUCAGCACCUCACAGCUACCGGGAACAACGCUGAACUUACCCUUUUCUUGAAUCUUCUUGAACUUAUUUAAAAAAACAAGAAAAAACAAAAAACUGAGUCAAUAAUUUGUAAGAACCUAGUAAAAUCUGAUACUGCAAGUUCACUUUAUUUUAGGUAGUUUGUAAGUUUUCAUGGCACUUUGUAAGUAAUUGUCUCUUUCUCACAUAUUUGAUAAAUGGUGUAAAAUUA